GUGGUCUGGGCAGCUUCCGACCGCCCUUCUCCUUGACUCACCUCCAGCUGGGAACGGCCCUGCUCAGCGACUGCGGACAGGGCGCCGCCCACACAGCGCCACAGCCCCGGACUGUCCCGGCGCGACGAGGACGCCCUACUCGGUGCCCCCGGGUGGGGCAGGUCGAGCCCGGUGCACUAUCCCUUUAAGCCUGGGAGAGAUGGGAGCUGUCAGCGACAACCCAGGCUAGCGCGGGACGUCGCCGCCCGUCAGGCCGGAGCGAGGAGCCGCAAAGCGAGUGGAGAGCGGAGGGGACAGCGGGGCCGGGGCCGGCGGGUACCCUCGCCGCCCACUGCGCACUCCAACCCUGGGCCCGGCGAGCCGCGGGCGGCACCAACGUAAUGCGGAGAAUGUGAGGCCGCGCAGGGCGGCGGGCAGCAGAGGGCGCGGGAGAGGGCGGCGGCGAUGUAGCCGGAGAGACAGCGGGAGAGACAGCGGCCCAGAAUCUGGGGGAGGGAAGGGAGAGAUAAGGAGAAAGGAGAGGAGGUCAAGAAGGGGCAGUGACAGAAGAGGGGAAAGGAAGGAGCAGGAGAGCACGCGGCUGCGGGCGGUGGCGCGGGCGAGGAGGGAGCCGGCUCCUUUGGGCGCGAGCGCCGGCAGCCCAAGUUGGGCGCCCCAGCCGGGGUUCAGGGAGCGUGGCCGCGGCCCGGCGUGGCAUGGUGGCGCAGCAGGGACGCCCGAGGGCUCCCCUCUGGGAGCCCCAAGGGACCUGAGACGAGGCCAGCCGGGAAGGGGACGCAGGUUCGCUAGCGAGCGCCGCUGGCCGCGUCUUGGGCUCUUUGUGGUCGCCCCAGGAGGGCGACUGGGGCGUGCGGAGCCGGGGGUGCGGCGGAGAGGUGCACGCGCACGAGAGUGUGAGCGCCCCGGAGUGUGGGAGCGCGCGUUAGAGAUUCUGUUGGCAUCGCUGCGUGGAGGGCAGGAGGCAGGAGCGGGCGCGCAGGGGAACGCGGGGGCUCUCCCGCGCACAAGCGCGCGCGCGCGCGCACACACGCCCUCCCUCCUCGCUGCUGCUGCCACCAUCUCGGAGCCGAGCCCUGUGGAACGGAAACCGGAGCCGGAGCGGGAAGCGGAGCGGAGGCGAGCCGGGGAUGCGGCCCCGGAACGGAGCUGCGCGCGAACUGCGCGCCCGGAACGCCUCCUGCGCCCACAGGCCCUGAGGCUCUGGUGCCCACCGGCAAAGAGGGCAACUGAGUGAAGCCCAGGCUGACCCCCAGCCCAGUUGCACCCCCAAACGCCUGCCUGAUGAGGAAUCCCAUGGCCAGGUCCUGGCUGCCCUGAACCUGUGGGGCCACACCGCCUGCCGCCCGCAUCCCAGGGCUCUGGCCUGAUCCAGCCCCUGGACCAGCUCGUCCUCACUCAGGUCUGGUCCAAGGGGACUCAAGCCUCAGGACUCAACAGGGCACAGCAGCAGUCACGGUAGGUGGCACCCACCCUACCCAUUCCCUGGUUCCUGGGCAUACCUGAGCCGUUUUGUUCCCUGGAG
rnacentral:lncRNA from 1 species